rnacentral:rRNA from 1 species
CCUACGGGUGGCAGCAGUGCGGAAUAUUGGUCAAUGGCCGUAAGGCUGAACCAGCCAAGUAGCGUGAGGGAAGACUGCCCUAUGGGUUGUACACCUCUUUUAUGCGGGGCUACAGGUGUCCACGUGUGGAUGUUUGCAGGUACCGCAUGAAUAAGGACCGGCUAAUUCCGUGCCAGCAGCCGCGGUCAUACGGCAGGUCCGGGCUUUAUCCGGAUUUAUUGGGUUUAAAGGGAGCGUAGGCCGGUCUUUCAGCGUGCCGUGAAAUUUUGUGGCUCAACCAUGAGAGUGCGGCGCGAACUGGAGACCGUGAGUGCGCGGAAGGCAGGCGGAAUUCGUGGUGGAGCGGUGAAAUGCGGAGAUAUCACGAAGAACCCCGAUUGCGAAGGCAGCCUGCCGCAGCGUUACUGACGCUGAAGCUCGAAAGCGCGGGUAUCGAACAGGAUGAGAUACCCUUGUAGUC